GUUAUCUGAACCUUCGGGGAACGAUAACGGCGUCGAGCGGCGGACGGGUGAGUAAUGCCUAGGAAAUUGCCCUGAUGUGGGGGAUAACCAUUGGAAACGAUGGCUAAUACCGCAUGAUGCCUACGGGCCAAAGAGGGGGACCUUCGGGCCUCUCGCGUCAGGAUAUGCCUAGGUGGGAUUAGCUAGUUGGUGAGGUAAGGGCUCACCAAGGCGACGAUCCCUAGCUGGUCUGAGAGGAUGAUCAGCCACACUGGAACUGAGACACGGUCCAGACUCCUACGGGAGGCAGCAGUGGGGAAUAUUGCACAAUGGGCGCAAGCCUGAUGCAGCCAUGCCGCGUGUGUGAAGAAGGCCUUCGGGUUGUAAAGCACUUUCAGUCGUGAGGAAGGUAGUGUAGUUAAUAGCUGCAUUAUUUGACGUUAGCGACAGAAGAAGCACCGGCUAACUCCGUGCCAGCAGCCGCGGUAAUACGGAGGGUGCGAGCGUUAAUCGGAAUUACUGGGCGUAAAGCGCAUGCAGGUGGUUUGUUAAGUCAGAUGUGAAAGCCCGGGGCUCAACCUCGGAAUAGCAUUUGAAACUGGCAGACUAGAGUACUGUAGAGGGGGGUAGAAUUUCAGGUGUAGCGGUGAAAUGCGUAGAGAUCUGAAGGAAUACCGGUGGCGAAGGCGGCCCCCUGGACAGAUACUGACACUCAGAUGCGAAAGCGUGGGGAGCAAACAGGAUUAGAUACCCUGGUAGUCCACGCCGUAAACGAUGUCUACUUGGAGGUUGUGGCCUUGAGCCGUGGCUUUCGGAGCUAACGCGUUAAGUAGACCGCCUGGGGAGUACGGUCGCAAGAUUAAAACUCAAAUGAAUUGACGGGGGCCCGCACAAGCGGUGGAGCAUGUGGUUUAAUUCGAUGCAACGCGAAGAACCUUACCUACUCUUGACAUCCAGAGAACUUUCCAGAGAUGGAUUGGUGCCUUCGGGAACUCUGAGACAGGUGCUGCAUGGCUGUCGUCAGCUCGUGUUGUGAAAUGUUGGGUUAAGUCCCGCAACGAGCGCAACCCUUAUCCUUGUUUGCCAGCGAGUAAUGUCGGGAACUCCAGGGAGACUGCCGGUGAUAAACCGGAGGAAGGUGGGGACGACGUCAAGUCAUCAUGGCCCUUACGAGUAGGGCUACACACGUGCUACAAUGGCGCAUACAGAGGGCGGCCAACUUGCGAAAGUGAGCGAAUCCCAAAAAGUGCGUCGUAGUCCGGAUUGGAGUCUGCAACUCGACUCCAUGAAGUCGGAAUCGCUAGUAAUCGUGGAUCAGAAUGCCACGGUGAAUACGUUCCCGGGCCUUGUACACACCGCCCGUCACACCAUGGGAGUGGGCUGCAAAAGAAGUAGGUAGUUU
rnacentral:rRNA from 1 species